rnacentral:lncRNA from 1 species
AUGGUUCUAGCUGGACAGGGAGAGGAGGAGCCAAUAGAAAAUAGUUUUGUGCCUGAUACCCAACCCGGAAGCAGCAGAAACACAUCCUCUAACUGGAGCAAACUGUCAGUUUCUGAAAUGCUAAUGAUGCCCACACAGAAAAUCGUUUCUCAGCCAAGACCUGAGCCUCUUUCAAGUUUGUCACAACAGCAGGAGCACCCGUCUUCAGCAAAGAGAUCAUCAGUUCCACUUCACGGCCCAAUCAGCCAAAAGCAAUUCCACACUGAACUCACAAAGCGCCUGAAGCCGUUCCUCAGUAAGGGGAAGCAGGAUCUUGCACCUCAGGAGCCAGCUCUACCCCAGAGAAAAAUGUCUGAGAACAGAGAGGGCUCUAAAGACAGAAGCUCUCUGGAGCGAUGUGCUCCUAAAGUGCAGCAGGUUCAAAGAAAUCGCCUUGCCAAAGGGAAGAACAAAGGCCAGAUGUCACUGGAGGCCGAUGUUGCUCCAGUCAAAGCCCAAACCAAGGCCUCCACGACCAAAGCUGUGCAGGAGAGAAGACCGGCCAACGUAAAGGCUCAAACAAACAAGACCCUCUCAAACGAGAAGAGAGAUGCAGAGCUUGCAGGCAGCAUGGUGAAGCUCAUCUCCAGCCGGUAUGAUUCCACAGCAAAACAUUCGGCAGAAAAUAUCCCUCAGGUCUGGAAUCCUCCUUUGAUCAACAGUAAUAGGCCGAUCUUCAACAUGAGCUGGUCAUCUGCUGUUAAAAAAGAAGUAUCUGGAGCUGUGAACCUAAAUAAAUCAAACAACAAAACUGCAACAAGCUAUACAAAGCAGAGAAAAGAUAUUUUUGCAUUCAGCGUUGAUUCACCAGUAUUGAGUAUUCGGGGAAAGGACAAAACCUUCAACAACACUUCUGCCAUAUUGAGCAGUAGCAUCCAUGACUCCUCAGCACUCCCCACUACAACCAAGAAAGGACAACCUGUGGCAAAAGAAAAGCGACGGGUGAAGAAACAUCUGUUCAGUGACACAGACACAGACUAUGCCACAGAGGUCAGCUGGCUGAGGGAGUCGGGCAGGAAGCCCAAACCCAAAGUUAUCAAAUAUUCCAGACAGGCACCUGUCAAGCCCAAAGCUGUGUCACCACAUACUUCAUAUGAAUCUCCAGAUUUACCACCAUCCCCUCAGAAACCUCUAAAUGGCAAUACCAGACCCAAUAAGGUAAGGCAGUAUUGUUGUUAUCCAUACAUGAUGUGCUUUGAGCCUGUGAUGCACUAUCCCAUUCAGCCACAGUGUGUCAUUGUUGUUUAA